rnacentral:sRNA from 1 species
CUUUUGGGGUCAUUUGCUUUUUGGGGAACAUCAUUGUGGAACAUUGAACUCCAUGGGCCCCUUGUUCGCGUGAGGAUUUCCUCACCUGCCUUCCAGCCCUGAUUCUUCUCGAUUAUGGGUCAGGCUGGGGGACCCUGGGGUCGAGAGAACUUUAACGAGUGGGUGCCUCUUUACCCCAGGGCAGUGCCAAGGAGCUGUCCCCUGCCGCCCUGGAGAAAAGGCGUCGGAGAAAGCAGGAACGGGACCGGAAGAAGAGGAAGCGAAAGGAGCUGCGGGCGAAAGAGAAGGCCAGGAAGGCUGAGGAGGCCGCGGAGGCCCAGGAGGUGGUGGAGCCAACCCCAGAGGGGGCCUGCACGGAGCCGCGGGAGCCGCCUGGGCUGAUCUUCAAUAAGGUGGAGGUGAGCGAAGACGAGCCGGCCAGCAAGGCGCAGCGCAGAAAAGAGAAGAGGCAGAGGGUGAAGGGGAACCUCACGCCACUGACCGGAAGGAACUACCGGCAGCUGCUGGAGCGCCUGCAGGCACGGCAGAGCCGGCUGGACGAGCUGCGCGGCCAGGAUGAGGGGAAGGCGCAGGAGCUGGAGGCGAAGAUGAAGUGGACCAACCUCCUCUACAAGGCGGAGGGCGUGAAGAUCCGCGACGACGAACACCUGCUGCAGGAGGCCCUGAAGCGCAAGGAGAAGCGCAGGGCGCAGCGGCAGCGCCGGUGGGAGAAGCGCACGGCCGGCGUGGUGGAGAAGAUGCAGCAGCGCCAGGACCGGCGGCGGCAGAACCUGCGCAGGAAGAAAGCGGCCCGCGCGGAGCGCCGCCUGCUCAGAGCCCGCAAGAAGGGCCGCAUCCUGCCGCAGGACCUGGAGCGCGCAGGCCUGGUCUGAGUCUUUCCCACCUGGGGCCGCCGUCUUCGUCCUAGGAGACUCCAGGGCACUCUCUGAGUCCU